rnacentral:rRNA from 1 species
CCUUGCCAGCCCGCUCAGAAACUCAAAGGAAUUGACGGGGCCCGCACAAGCGGAGGAGCAUGUGGUUUAAUUCGAUGAUACGCGAGGAACCUUACCUGGGCUCGAACGUAAGAUGACUGUAGGUGAAAGCUUACAUCUCUUCGGAGCAUUUUACGAGGUGCUGCAUGGUUGUCGUCAGCUCGUGCCGUGAGGUGUCGGGUUAAGUCCCAUAACGAGCGCAACCCCUACCUUUAGUUGCCAUCAGGUUAAGCUGGGGACUCUAAAGGAACUGCCUACGCAAGUAGUGAGGAAGGCGGGGAUGACGUCAAAUCAGCACGGCCCUUACGUCCAGGGCUACACACGUGCUACAAUGGCCGAUACAGAGGGCAGCUACCUGGUGACAGGAUGCAAAUCUCCAAAGUCGGUCUCAGUUCGGAUCGGAGUCUGCAACCCGACUCCGUGAAGUUGGAUUCGCUAGUAAUCGCGCAUCAGCCAUGGCGCGGUGAAUACGUUCCCGGGCCUU